CACUCUACAUGUUUGAUUUCAUGUAAUUUGAUGUUAUGCAUAGGUCAUAAGUAGUGUUUAAAAGGUUAAAAACACAUUAAUAUUGGAUGGAUAUAGUAUUUGCUGCUGUAUUCAAAACU